GGGUCCGUGGCGCAGUACGGAUAGCGCGUCAGCCUUCUAAGCUGAAAGUCCUGGGUUCAAAUCCCAGCGGACCCG
rnacentral:tRNA from 1 species